CCCUUAGAUGUCCUGGGCCGCACGCGCGCUACACUGACAUGUUCAACAAGUUUCUCCUAGUUCGACAGGACUGGGAAAUCUUUGAACGCAUGUCGUGAUAGGGAUAGAUCAUUGCAAUUAUUGAUCUUGAACGAGGAAUUCCUAGUAAACGCGAGUCAUCAGCUCGCAUUGAUUGCGUCCCUGCCCUUUGUACACACCGCCCGUCGCACCUACCGAUUGAAUGUUUCGGUGAAGAUUCCGGAUAGGACUGAUUUGAUUUAUUUCAUUUCUGACCUAAAAGCUAUCUAAACCUCAACAUUUAGAGGAAGGUGAAGUCGUAACA
rnacentral:rRNA from 1 species